rnacentral:lncRNA from 1 species
UGGGGCUUUAGGACGGACUCCAAAGUUGAUUGUUGAAUCUCAGUAUGUAUGGCCAAGGCUCACUCAUUCAACCCGCGAGAAAAGCGAGUCUUGAACGAAGGAAGAAUAGUUGCAGGAUCCUGGGUUCGGUAUGAUCGUUCUUCCAAUUCAUACUAGCUACGAUCUUUCCCUCCUUAGAGGAUCCAGCAGUAAGGGACCUACCUAUGGCCAGUAAAGAACCCACCUAUGGUUGUCUCCUCGGACAGCUUUCAGAGCUUCUGCUUCACCGGUGUAACACAAGUGGUUCUUGGGCUUUAACUAACUAAGUGCUGGCAGUGAUUUUAGGUUGGUUUCAUGGUUUCUUCAUUCUUGUAGCCUGUGUUGCAUGUGUUUGCAGUAGCUUUGCAGAUUCAGGACUAUUGGCAACAGCCGUUGACCGUCUAUCUUCUUCCCAGUUCCCAGAUACAAGAUUCUAGGCUUUGAGCAAUGCAAAAUGCUUGAUAGCCAGGAAGGCAUUUCACUGGGGUUCCUUUGGUGGAACUAAUUCUUUCUCUAUUUUCUUCAUAUCAUAAUUGAAUUGAUACCUGAAUUCAAAGAAGAAAUCAAGAGACAACGUUCCUGUUCCAGUUGGGGUCCAGACGGCUUUCAUACACACGGAUCUUUCCUUUCUUUUGGUCAUGCGCAGGAUUCAACUCAACUGAAUACAUUACAUAACAUAUUUUUGAUAGAACGAUUCUUCUUGUCCGCAAGGGCAAUAACGUUCUAAAGAUGGGUACGAUCGGUUGCACAACCAUAACUCAAAAUGGAGUAUUUCUUGACUACUUAUACAACUCUUUGGGGUCCAAAGAUACUCUAAAAUACUCAUCAGGUUCGAUACGAUAUUAAUAGUGCUUAGCACUAACUUCCUUCGACCGGACACCACC